rnacentral:rRNA from 1 species
GACGGAGGGCGCAAGCGUUGUUCGGAAUACUGGGCGUAAAGCGCGGGCAGGUGGCCCGUUAAGUCUGCGGUGAAAUCCCGGGGCUCAACUCCGGAUAUGCCGCGGAUACUGGCGGGCUAGAGACUGGUAGAGGCGAGUGGAAUUCCAGGUGUAGCGGUGGAAUGCGUAGAUAUCAUUUGGAACGCCAAUGGUGAAAACAGGUAGCUGGGAGUGUGCUGACGCUGAGACACGAAAGCCAGGGGAGCAAGCAGGG